rnacentral:rRNA from 1 species
AUUGAACGCUGGCGGCAGGCCUAACACAUGCAAGUCGAGCGGUUGAAGUUAGCUUGCUUCUGGAUUCAGCGGCGGACGGGUGAGUAAUUCCUAGGAAUCUGCCUGGUAGUGGGGGAUAACGUCCGGAAACGGGCGCUAAUACCGCAUACGUUCUGAGGGUUAAAGAGGGGUUUCUUCGUACCUCACUCUAUUAGCUGAGCCUAGGUCUGAUUAGCUAGUUGGUGGGGUAAAGGCCUACCAAGGCGACGAACCGUAACUGGUCUGAGAGGAUGAUGAGUCACACUGGAACUGAGAAACGGUCAAGACGCCUACGGGAGGAAGAAGUGGGGAAUAUUGGACAAUGGGCGAAAGCCUGAUCAAGACAUGCCGCGUGUGUGAAGAAGGUCUUCGGAUUGUAAAGCACGUUAAGUGGGGAGGAAGGGCAGUAAGUUAAUAACUUGAUGUUGUGACGUUAACAACAGAAUAAGCACCGGCUAACUUCGUG